CCAACGGGUGGGCCGGCCGGUCGAGGCCCACUUCGCUGCGGCUGAAGGUGAUCGGAACGCCCGUUCCCCACAGUUCCGCGUCCACGUCGUAAGC
rnacentral:tRNA from 1 species